UGGUGGAUUAGUGGCGAACGGGUGAGUAACACGUGGGCAAUCUGCCCUGCACUCUGGGACAAGCCCUGGAAACGGGGUCUAAUACCGGAUAUGACACACGGCCGCAUGGUCUGUGUGUGGAAAGCUCCGGCGGUGCAGGAUGAGCCCGCGGCCUAUCAGCUUGUUGGUGGGGUGAUGGCCUACCAAGGCGACGACGGGUAGCCGGCCUGAGAGGGCGACCGGCCACACUGGGACUGAGACACGGCCCAGACUCCUACGGGAGGCAGCAGUGGGGAAUAUUGCACAAUGGGCGCAAGCCUGAUGCAGCGACGCCGCGUGAGGGAUGACGGCCUUCGGGUUGUAAACCUCUUUCAGCAGGGAAGAAGCUUUUAUCGGUGACGGUACCUGCAGAAGAAGCACCGGCUAACUACGUGCCAGCAGCCGCGGUAAUACGUAGGGUGCGAGCGUUGUCCGGAAUUAUUGGGCGUAAAGAGCUCGUAGGCGGCUUGUCACGUCGGAUGUGAAAGCCCGGGGCUUAACCCCGGGUCUGCAUUCGAUACGGGCAGGCUAGAGUUCGGUAGGGGAGAUCGGAAUUCCUGGUGUAGCGGUGAAAUGCGCAGAU
rnacentral:rRNA from 1 species